ACUGGGGGAUAACAGUUAGAAAUAGCUGCUAAUACCGCAUAAGCGCACGGUUCCGCAUGGAACAGUGUGAAAAACUCCGGUGGUGUGAGAUGGACCCGCGUCUGAUUAGCCAGUUGGCGGGGUAACGGCCCACCAAAGCGACGAUCAGUAGCCGGCCUGAGAGGGUGAACGGCCACAUUGGGACUGAGACACGGCCCAAACUCCUACGGGAGGCAGCAGUGGGGAAUAUUGCACAAUGGGGGAAACCCUGAUGCAGCGACGCCGCGUGAGUGAAGAAGUAUUUCGGUAUGUAAAGCUCUAUCAGCAGGGAAGAAAGUGACGGUACCUGAAUAAGAAGCCCCGGCUAACUACGUGCCAGCAGCCGCGGUAAUACGUAGGGGGCAAGCGUUAUCCGGAUUUACUGGGUGUAAAGGGAGCGUAGACGGCAAGGCAAGUCUGAAGUGAAAGCCCGGUGCUUAACGCCGGGACUGCUUUGGAAACUGUUUGGCUGGAGUGCCGGAGGGGUAAGCGGAAUUCCUAGUGUAGCGGUGAAAUGCGUAGAUAUUAGGAAGAACACCAGUGGCGAAGGCGGCUUACUGGACGGUAACUGACGUUGAGGCUCGAAAGCGUGGGGAGCAAACAGGAUUAGAUACCCUGGUAGUCCACGCCGUAAACGAUGAUUGCUAGGUGUAGGUGGGUAUGGACCCAUCAGUGCCGC
rnacentral:rRNA from 1 species